GAUUGUGUUAGUUAAAGGAAAAGAGGAUAGUGGAUUGGCCAAUUUACCAGUGUGUGUUGAGAAUACCUUGUAAAUAAAAUGCAUGAGCAUAAAUCAUCUGAAUCCUGAUGAAGAUAACCUUUAAUCUGUUGUCUUGGCAUCAUAGGGAGGUGCGGAGUAAAGGAUAGUUGAAGUCUUGACUUCCAACAGAGCUGUCUCUCAAAGGAUUUACUAUAAACAUUUUAUUUAAAAAUAGUAUAUUUUCUUGCAUUAUUUUAAGGACAUUUGUGUGACAUUGGUUUUCUUGAUUUUGUUUAGGAAGUUUAUCGGAAUUCUAUGCCAGCUUCCAGCUUUCAACAGCAGAAACUUCGUGUCUGUGAAGUCUGUUCUGCAUAUUUAGGUCUUCAUGAUAAUGACCGACGACUUGCUGAUCAUUUUGGGGGUAAAUUGCAUCUGGGAUUUAUUGAAAUAAGAGAGAAGCUCGAAGAAUUAAAGGUACAUUUUUUUAAAUUAAUGCCCUUCGCUUUAUCCUGGGUAACCUGACUCUUUUGGUCUGUAUCAGUUUUCUUUUAGUUUCAUUGAUAAGGUUUCAUUGUGUAGCUCUGUGUGAUCUUCAACUACUUGUAAUCAAUCCUCUUGUCUCAGUUUCCCUGUACUGUAAUUAG
rnacentral:lncRNA from 1 species